rnacentral:rRNA from 1 species
GAUGAACGCUGGCGGCGUGCCUAAUACAUGCAAGUCGAGCGAACAGAUGAGGAGCUUGCUCCUCUGACGUUAGCGGCGGACGGGUGAGUAACACGUGGAUAACCUACCUAUAAGACUGGGAUAACUUCGGGAAACCGGAGCUAAUACCGGAUAAUAUAUUGAACCGCAUGGUUCAAUAGUGAAAGACGGUUUUGCUGUCACUUAUAGAUGGAUCCGCGCCGCAUUAGCUAGUUGGUAAGGUAACGGCUUACCAAGGCAACGAUGCGUAGCCGACCUGAGAGGGUGAUCGGCCACACUGGAACUGAGACACGGUCCAGACUCCUACGGGAGGCAGCAGUAGGGAAUCUUCCGCAAUGGGCGAAAGCCUGACGGGGCAACGCCGCGUGAGUGAUGAAGGUCUUCGGAGCGUAAAACUCUGUUAUUAGGGAAGAACAAAUGUGUAAGUAACUAUGCACGUCUUGACGGUACCUAAUCAGAAAGCCACGGCUAACUACGUG